CUCAACCUGGGAACUGCAUUCGAAACUGGCAGGCUUGAGUCUUGUAGAGGGGGGUAGAAUUCCAGGUGUAGCGGUGAAAUGCGUAGAGAUCUGGAGGAAUACCGGUGGCGAAGGCGGCCCCCUGGACAAAGACUGACGCUCAGGUGCGAAAGCGUGGGGAGCAAACAGGAUUAGAUACCCUGGUAGUCCACGCCGUAAACGAUGUCUACUUGGAGGUUGUGCCCUUGAGGCGUGGCUUCCGGAGCUAACGCGUUAAGUAGACCGCCUGGGGAGUACGGCCGCAAGGUUAAAACUCAAAUGAAUUGACGGGGGCCCGCACAAGCGGUGGAGCAUGUGGUUUAAUUCGAUGCAACGCGAAGAACCUUACCUGGUCUUGACAUCCACAGAACUUUCCAGAGAUGGAUUGGUGCCUUCGGGAACUGUGAGACAGGUGCUGCAUGGCUGUCGUCAGCUCGUGUUGUGAAAUGUUGGGUUAAGUCCCGCAACGAGCGCAAC
rnacentral:rRNA from 1 species